rnacentral:misc_RNA from 1 species
AGCAGCCGCGGUAAUUCCAGCUCCAAUAGCGUAUAUUAAAGUUGCUGCAGUUAAAAAGCUCGUAGUUGAAUUUCGGGACUAAUAUGUCGGUCGUGCCUCGGUACGUACUGGCUUAUUGGUUUCUCCUUUCUGAAGAACCAUGAUGUCAUUUAUUUGGUGUCGUGGGGAAUCAGGACUGUUACUUUGAAAAAAUUAGAGUGUUUAAAGCAGGCUCACGCUUGAAUACAUUAGCAUGGAAUAAUGAAAUAGGACGUUUGAUUCUAUUUUGUUGGUUUCUAGGAUCGACGUAAUGAUUAAUAGGGAUAGUUGGGGGCAUUAGUAUUCAAUUGUCAGAGGUGAAAUUCUUGGAUUUAUUGAAGACUAACUACUGCGAAAGCAUUUGCCAAGGAUGUUUUCAUUAAUCAAGAACGAAAGUUAGGGGAUCGAAGACGAUCAGAUACCGUCGUAGUCUUAACCAUAAACUAUGCCGACUAGGGAUCGGAUGAUGUUAAUUUUUUAAUGACUCAUUCGGCGCCUU